rnacentral:tRNA from 1 species
GAGCUUAUAAUAUAAUCGGUUAGUAUCCUACACUUUUAAUGUAGUUGUCAGGGUUCGAGUCCCUGUAGGCUCA